GACGAACCGUGCAAACGUUGUUCGGAAUCACUGGGCUUAAAGGGCGCGUAGGCGGCAGACCAAGUCCGGGGUGAAAUCUUUCGGCUUAACUCGGAAACUGCCAUUGAUACUAUCAGUCUUGAAUACCGUGGAGGUCAGUAGAAUAUGUCAUGUAGCGGUGAAAUGCUUAGAUAUGACAUAGAACACCAAUUGCGAAGGCAGCUGGCUACACGAAUAUUGACACUCAGGCACGAAAGCGUGGGGAUCAAACAGG
rnacentral:rRNA from 1 species